rnacentral:tRNA from 1 species
GGGGGUACAGCUCAGGGGUAGAGCAUUCGACUGCACAUCAAGAGGUCCCUGGUUCAAAUCCGGGUGACCCUG